rnacentral:rRNA from 1 species
GACGAACCGUGCGAACGUUAUUCGGAAUCACUGGGCUUAAAGCGCGCGCAGGCGGGGCGGCACGUCGGUCGCUGAAAUCCCCCGGCUCAACCGGGGAACGGGCACCGAUACGACCGCCCUGGAGGGGCGUAGGGGGACCGGGAACUUCCGGUGGAGCGGUGAAAUGCGUUGAGAUCGGAAGGAACGCCCGUGGCGAAAGCGCGGUCCUGGACGCCUGCUGACGCUGAGGCGCGAAAGCCAGGGGAGCGAACGGG